rnacentral:rRNA from 1 species
UACGUAGGGGGCGAGCGUUGUCCGGAAUUAUUGGGCGUAAAGAGCGUGUAGGCGGCCAUGUAGGUCCGGUGUGAAAACUCGAGGCUUAACCUCGAGAUGUCAUCGGAAACCAUUUGGCUAGAGUCCGGAAGAGGAGAGUGGAAUUCCUGGUGUAGCGGUGAAAUGCGCAGAUAUCAGGAAGAACACCAAUGGCGAAAGCAGCUCUCUGGGACGGUACUGACGCUGAGACGCGAAAGCGUGGGGAGCGAACAGG